AGAAGUGUUACUGGAUCUCUUACUCCUGAGAUUGGUACAUCUUCUCAUUUCAGAAUACAACAACAAAAAGGAUUAUAAGAGAAACCCCACAUAUGAACAGCCAACAUAAGGUUGGAUCGAAGGACACACAAGUACAGAGCCACUGCACAGGAGUUCCAGGGACACCCAUGGUGGAGCUGUGGAAGCAGAGUCCGAGGUCGACAAAGAAAUUGGAGGGCUGCUAAGCCAAAAGCUAAUAGAAGGACCCCCAUGAAAUCAUGUGCCUUGGAGAAAAGCUGAAACGCUGAAGAGAAAUCACUGAAGAGUAAAUUGUGGACAGCGACGCUAAACCUUUUGAAUUGGUCCCAGGAAAAGUGAAUGAAUCUUAAAGAUUUCCUAAGAUAAGGGAACCCUUGGGGUAAAAAAGAAAGUAGAACUGAGUUUGUAGCACAAGUCUUUGUAAGUUAUUGUGUUAAGUUAAUAGUGCUUAAUUUGUUUAAUUUUUUGAUAUACAAUAAUGUUUUUGUUUAAAAAUGUGAAAUCUUGUGACAUAGUUCUGUCUAUUAAUUGCCGGUUGUUCGGAUUUCUUCUUUAACCAGUAACAUUCCCUGACCAGAUCAUAACACUCGUCUAUACGGUUUCCCAUCUGACAACAGAACACACAAAAUACAUUGAAUCACGCACCGUGAAACCCUGAUCAACAAUGCUUUAAAUUGUAAAAGAAAAUGCAGCAUUUUCUCCUUAAAAAAACCUCUAAAUUCUUAAUAUAGAGGACUGUUGAAUGAAGAAAAAGGGCAAUUGGACCAAAAUGUCCACUUCUUCCAUUGAAUGUAAACAAACAAUCUAACAUAUCAUGAGUCUACUCCACCAAUUUAUUCUCCUUCGGGAAAUUCUCCAUAAAUACUUUGCCCUCAAAAUGUCAUUAAGUAAAUCUCCACAAUACUCACUCACUAGCAUCUCUACUAUUUUUGCACAGGCUCUGUCAAUACCUUACAACACCUCUCUCCUAUUAGCAUAGGAGGCAUUAUGUCCAGUACAAUAUUUGAUCAUCUCAAAUCAGUAACCAUCCCAAUUUAACUCUAUUUUAUUUCCAAUCAGAUUAUUUAACCCUUCAAAAAAAAGCUGAAUAAUUAACUUGGGCUUUUUUAAUGCAUGCAUAAGUAUAUGCAUAGUAUUCCUGUGCCCCUAAUUGUAAUCUCUAGAUUCAAUGGACUUGGUUAAUUUUAAACUUGUGCAAUCUAGCUGUACACUCAUAUUAAGUCAAACAGUUAGCUGGUA